CGGGGCCUAGGCCGGAUGUUAUCUGGGCAGGCCUAGGAGAGGGCCGUGGAAUUAAGUUAAAAUCUCUAUUCGGGAGAGGGCCGGUCGCCCGGCUAUGGAGACUUAGCAUGGAGGGAUGAUUAGAAGCUGGACAAGAGGACCUAAAGGGUACGGCAGAGAGUGGAGUCUGUUGUGAUGGGAGAUUCCUUCAGCUCUGGAUCCGAAUCCCAAAUCAGCCUCUCAGGCAGUGCGUGAGAUCAAGAAGGUUGUCUGUGAGCCCGGGUCCUCAUCCUGGGGGUCCAGGAUGGAGAGGCAAUUGAAGAUGAGUCUGGGAUUGAGGGCGGAGCCAGAUUAGCAAUGGGGACGGACGUGAUGAAGCAGUUGCCCAGAAGCUGACCUGCCCACUGGUCCUUCUUUGUGCCACACCAGAGAAAGCCGUUCCAGCAGGAACAGCCUCACGCCACUCAAGCUGAAAGCACCGACCAGCAACUCCGACGCCACCCGCUCCACCGGCAGCGCCCCAAGUGUGCCAGCCCAGCAGCCAAGAUUCACCUCGUUCUUCAGUCAGAGUUCCAAGAUUCUGGGUCCUUCACCCAAACCCUCCUCCCUCAGACCCAGGAGCAAACCCUCCGGCGGACAAGUGCACAUUGGCGCCACCUAGCGGCGGGAGCCUCCCAGGACAAGAAGAAAAGAGGCAACGUUUUCAAAAGUCGCCAGGCACGGGUUUCAGGCAUUCAUGCCUCAAAACACUCCUGUGAGGCAGAAGCAAUUAUUCUCGUCUUACAGAUAAGGAAACCGAGGCACAGAGAGGCCAAGCGACUUUCCCAAGGAUGUGUUAUGUGUUCGAGGCAAGAUUCCAACCCAGGCCCCCUGGUUCUGGAGUCCACAUCUGAAUCACACCCUGUGUUAACCAGUCUUUCAAACGCCAACCUAAUUUUGUGAUUUACACACCUGCUCCAUGCGUAUUCCUCCAACCCAGAGACCAUCCCCAUGCCUUUUCUACUCCUACCCCACACUAAGACCCUGAUAACCAGAGAAGUGACGCUUUGCACCCAAGAGGUAACAGGGUCCCUUGGACCAUUCUCUUGCCCUCCUCCCAACUUCUACAGCCUGGGUGAUCUUGAACCAGUGGGGCCCUCCCCUUCCCCCUAUCUGUUCCUGUGUGAGAUGGGGCAAAAUGAACAGUCAUGGUUUGCUAUGUGCUCUUAGCUCCUCACAUGCACUAGCUCUUAGAUACUCCUUGGAAAACUCUAUGAUGGGGUCCUCUGAUGACCUGAUUUUAAGGAUGAGACUCAGAAGCACAAAGAAGCGAAAAUACAUAACAGGAUCUGCC
rnacentral:lncRNA from 1 species